GACGGGGGGUCCUAGCGUUGUUCGGAAUUAUUGGGCGUAAAGCGUGUGCAGGGUGUUUAAAAAGUUAGAUGUGAAAUCCUUGGGCUCAACCCAAGACGUGCAUUUAAAACUGUUAGACUUGAGUAUGGAAGAGGGUCGUGGAAUUCCAGGUGUAGUGGUGAAAUACGUAGAUAUCUGGAGGAACACCGGUGGCGAAGGCGGCGACCUGGUCCAAUACUGACACUCAUACACGAAAGCGUGGGAUCAAACAGG
rnacentral:rRNA from 1 species